rnacentral:snRNA from 1 species
GCAGGUAUACCUGCUUCAGGUAUACCUGCAGUGACACAGAGAAGAUUAGCAUGCCCGGCGCAAGGAGGACACACAAAUUCACAAAGCAUUCCAUAUUUUU